UGAUCUUAUUAAUUGCUCUCAGAUCUGUCA
rnacentral:piRNA from 1 species